CCCUGCCAUUUGUACACACCGCCCGUCGUUGUUUCCGAUGAUGGUGCAAUACAGGUGAUCGGAUAGACGAGUGUUUCACUUGUCUAGAAGUUCACCGAUAUUUCUUCAAUAGAGGAAGCAAAAGUCGU
rnacentral:rRNA from 1 species